rnacentral:rRNA from 1 species
AACGAACGCUGGCGGCAGGCUUAACACAUGCAAGUCGAACGGCUGUAGCAAUACAGCAGUGGCAGACGGGUGAGUCACACGUGGGAACCUUCCUAGGGGUACGGAACAACUCAGGGAAACUUGAGCUAAUACCGUAUACGUCCGUGAGGAUAAAGAUUUAUCGCCCUUAGACGGGCCCGCGUCGGAUUAGGUAGUUGGUGGGGUAACGGCCUACCAAGCCUACGAUCCGUAGCUGAUCUGGGAGGAUGAUCAGCCACACUGGGACUGAGACACGGCCCAGACUCCUACGGGAGGCAGCAGUGGGGAAUCUUGGACAAUGGGCGCAAGCCUGAUCCAGCCAUGCCGCGUGAGUGAAGAAGGCCUUAGGGUUGUAAAGCUCUUUUGCCAGGGACGAUAAUGACGGUACCUGGAGAAUAAGCCCCGGCAAACUUCGUGCCAGCAGCCGCCGUAA